rnacentral:rRNA from 1 species
GAAGUGCUGCUGAAACUGUUUAGCUUGAGUAUGGUAGAGGGAAGCGGAAUUCCUGGUGUAGCGGUGAAAUGCGUAGAUAUCAGGAGGAACACCGGUGGCGAAGGCGGCUUCCUGGACCAAUACUGACGCUGAGGCGCGAAGGCGUGGGUAGCAAACAGGAUUAGAUACCCUGGUAGUCCACGCAGUAAACGGUGAUCACUAGGUGUUGCGGGUAUUGAUACCUGCAGUGCCGGAGCUAACGCAUUAAGUGAUCCGCCUGGGGAGUACGGCCGCAAGGUUAAAACUCAAAGGAAUUGACGGGGGCCCGCACAAGCGGUGGAGCAUGUGGUUUAAUUCGACGCAACGCGAAGAACCUUACCUGGAUUUGACAUCUGGGGAAUUCAUAGAAAUAU